rnacentral:rRNA from 1 species
GACGAACGCUGGCGGCGUGCUUAACACAUGCAAGUCGAACGGAAAGGCCCUGCUUUUGUGGGGUGCUCGAGUGGCGAACGGGUGAGUAACACGUGAGUAACCUGCCCUUGACUUUGGGAUAACUUCAGGAAACUGGGGCUCAUACCGGAUAGGAGCUCCUGCUGCAUGGUGGGGGUUGGAAAGUUUCGGCGGUUGGGGAUGGACUCGCGGCUUAUCAGCUUGUUGGGGGGGUAGUGGCUUACCAAGGCUUUGACGGGUAGCCGGCAUGAGAGGGUGACCGGCGACAUUGGGACUGCGAUACGGCCCAGACUCCUACGGGAGGCAGCAGGCGGGAAUAUUGCACAAUGGGCGGAAGCCUGAUGCAGCAAUGCUGCGUGCGGGAUGACGGCCUUCGGGUUGUAAACCGCUUUCGCCUGUGACGAAGCGUGAGUGACGGUAAUGGGUAAAGAAGCACCGGCUAACUACGUG